rnacentral:rRNA from 1 species
CCUACGGGAGGCAGCAGUGGGGAAUAUUGGACAAUGGGCGCAAGCCUGAUCCAGCCAUGCCGCGUGAGUGAUGAAGGCCCUAGGGUUGUAAAGCUCUUUCAACGGUGAAGAUAAUGACGGUAACUGUAGAAGAAGCCCCGGCUAACUUCGUGCCAGCAGCCGCGG